rnacentral:lncRNA from 1 species
GAAAAACUUUUACAAAUAAAACUGGUGCUUAACUGUUGUGGUAGGGAAUUAGAAGGAAACUUCUGUUUAGCAUUCUGAUAUGUAAUGCUUCAAGGCAAAACAUUGAAAGUAAUGACAGGCCUAUUAUUGAUUAAUAGAUUAAUUGUAUAAUUAUCAGAUUAUGCUCUGAGAGGAAAUCUGGGGAGCAGAAGGAGCUUGCUCACUAACAGCUCAAUCCAGUAGACCAAGAGUUGCACUGAAGUGAGUAGAAAGGAAGACCUGGAAUGAGAGCCAUAGCUUCACAAAGAUCACUGGAAGACCUAAAGAUGACCACCAUCCUGAGGAAAGACAAUUGCAUACCAUACAAAUACUUGUCCUUGUUGGCUGACCUGCUCGAAGGCUGUAUCAGUUGGAUCAUAAAUUUUGUGACAGUAAUACCUGAAUACUUGAAAUGCCCGUGGGAACAAAAAGACAACCUAUACAAAAGCAUAGUCAUUGUCUUCAGAGGUAAUGGAGGCAAGAGACUGUAAUUUAUCACAAGAAAGCAAGUAAUCUGUCAGUCUGUGACAAAACUGCCCUUUAUUUGAGAGAACAUAUUUAUUGCAUCCAUUCCUGCCUGUAUGACCCAUAAUGACAAUUAAUGACCGUGGUGUGGGCUUGGACAGCAGUCACUGCAGCAAAUAGCAUGCUUUCCAAACAAUGUGGUUUUAG